AUCACGACAAGAGUUGUCUCAAGGACCUUCACACAGUAAACAUUCCCAUACAGGUCAGUUCAUUAAGCCAAUCAAAAAAAAGUUUCCUAUAUAAUGAACCCAGCAAAUUGCAUCAAGUCACUGACUAGUGUCAGUGACUUUACAGCAAUCCUCAUACUAAGCAAGCAUUUAGCGACAGUGGAGAGGAAAACUCCCUUUUAACAGGAAGAAACCUCCAGAGAAUCCUGGCUCAGUUUAAGCAGCCAUCCUCCACGACUCACUGGGGAUCGAGAAGACAGAACACGCAAACACCAACACCAACCCAUCCACACACACAACAUAUAUACCAAGUAAUGUUUCUAUAGUUACAUUGGGAUUUCUUAGUAAAUUAUCUAUUUGGUGAGAGAUAAACUUUAUUGUAUUUAUCCUAGUGAAUCUAUAAUUAAAUGGGUAAACUUGUAGUAGCACAUUCAUUGUCAAAGAAGGUAAAAUAUUAUUAUCAGGAGAGGGAGAAUGUUUAAAUGGUUAGCAGCAGUGUUCAGCCAAUGGCCCCCUCCAUGAGGCCACCACAGCUCAGCAGAACACCAUUGUAGCUUCUUCUGGGGAGAAAAACACUUAGAGAAAAAAUAAAGUUAACAGCUGAAAUAGCAAAAAAUAAUGCAGUUAAAGAGCAAAUUGUAGAAGAAAGUAGUCGAGUGCGGAAAUGUCCUCCAGCAGUCUAAGCCUAUAGCAGCAUAACUACUGAGAUAACUCUGGAUAACCUAGCCUUUUGCUGAAUUGAAUUGGAUUUAGAAUAUUUGGACAUUUUUAAUCUGAUUUUCAUUCUUUUCUUAUUUAGCUUCAUUCAGUCGCAGCUGAUCAGUCUGAUAAAAGCUGAGUCACUGAUGACAUCAUCAUCAUCUCUGAUGAAACUCAGUCACAUUAAACAUGGCUGCCCCCUGCUGGACACACGUCAGUUACACACAGAAAGAAUUCAUCUCAGUAUCUAAUUUCUGCUGCAGUUUAGUUGGUUUUACCGUUCCUGUCAAGAUUCACCUGAUUCAUAAUUAUUACUUUACUCCUUUAGAAACACACAAGCUGAAUAAACUAGCUGAUGAAUCCAGGUUCUUCUUCUUUCUUAUAUCUGGAGCUCAGAAUCUUUUUCAUGUUUCUUUUGUGCUUCUGUUCAGUGACGUCUGAAAUCAGACUGGAGCGGGGAACUAGUCAUUGUCAUGGAGACCUGCAGAAGAAGGAUCAGGGAGACUGGUGGGAGGUGGUGGACCAGGACCUGGACUGGAACCUGACAUCAGCAGCUGAAGUGUGCAGACAGCUGGACUGUGGACCUGUGGUGCCGAUAAGUAGAGAUUAUUAUAAACCCAUGAAGAUCAGCUGUUCAGGUUGAGUUAUUUGCUUCUGUCUGUGUUUCUGGUGGAGAAUAAAACUAAACCAGAACAAAAUCAUUUUAAAUCAAACUGAACUUUAAACUAAGUUUCAUCAGAAGAAGUCGUCUCUAUAAUAUUAGAACUAAAUGUAUUUUUCUGAUGCAACAACAUGGCUGAGGCUAUAGAACCUUGAUGUUAUGGUUCAAAUAUUUGUGUGUAGAUACAGAAAAACAUGAGGUUGUAGAGGUGUUGAUAACAAGCAGCCUCCAUGUAGAUCUGGGUCUGAUCUGUCUGCUCUGUAAUGUGAAUGGAGGAGCUCAAUAAUCAUCAUUAAGUCCAGGAGUUGACAAAUGUUUGAGCUGCAUGUGAGCAGCAUCAGCUGACUCUAGUAAACUGGUAGAAAUGAUCAAAUAUCUGACAUGAAGAAACCAGGAGUUCCCUUUAAACAGCUGAUCCUCUUCCUCUCUCUGUCCAGACUCAGUCAGACCGCUGGAUGGGAUUAACCGGUGUUCAGGCAGACUGGAGGUGAACCUGGACCAGUCCUUGUCCUCAGUGGGUGAAGGUGCUUUUGACCAGCAGGAUGCAGGUGGUCUGCAGGGAGCUGGGCUGUGGGCUUUCUUCAGUCCUCCAGGGGGCGCUCUUUGGAGAAACAGAGGCUCCAACAUGGAGCAAAGAGUUCCAGUGUGAAGGCAACGAGACUGCUCUGUUGGACUGUAGAAGCUCAGGUUCAGAUGGAAGCACCAGCUCACCUGGUUAAGCUGUUGAACUCACCUGUUCAGAUAAAAUCGGGUUGAUGGGAGAGGCCAGUCGCUGUGCUGGGAAGCUGGAGGUGUUUGACCAGGAUCAGUGGGGGACUGGCCUAGUGUCUGGAACAAGAACUCGGCUGCUGUAAUUUGUUCUAACCUGGGUUGUGGUUCUGCUGUUUCGAUUAACACAUCAAAGGAAUAUCACAAAGACCUGCAUAGAGGAUAGAUCCAUCCUGUCUGCAGUCAGCAUCUCUGCUGAUAGAGUGUUUAUAUCAUGAUGAGUAUUACUUUGAUGAGACCCUGGAGGUGAUCUGCUCAGGUUUGUUGGUGGAGCCACAGAUCUUCCUCUCUCCCUCCACUGACGGGGUCUCCAAAGCCAUAAAACAGGGGUCUGAGGUUCCCAUUGGCUCAGAUUUCAGCAUCAUGUGCUCCAUCACACCUCAGUACCAAGGCGGUUCCUUCCAGCUCAUCUUCAUCACCUCCACCUCAACACAGAAUGCCACCCUGCCAGCUGUCAAUCACUCUGCCCUUUUCCUGUUCUCUGCUGCAGGCCCCGCCCACCAGAGGCAUCUGAGGAGAGAGGGUAAAUAACCUUCGGUGGAAUAGCUCCUUCAGCACGUUACGUGUGUGUUGCUAUGAUUCAGUUUGCCCAGAAAAUGGAGGCAGAGCUCUUUGAUCUGCUGCAUUCAUAAACUCAGCCUCACACACUGACAGCAAUAACCUGACAUCAUUGUGAUCUUGUCUAAAAAUGGAGCUGAAUUGUUUUCAUAAUUAAU